GGGCCUUUAGCUCAAUUGGCAGAGCAGCGGACUUUUAAUCCGCGGGUUGUGGGUUCGAGUCCCACAGGGCCCA
rnacentral:tRNA from 1 species